rnacentral:rRNA from 1 species
GAUGAACGCUAGCUACAGGCUUAACACAUGCAGGUCGAGGGGUAACGAGAGGGAAGCUUGCUUUCCUUGUCGACGACCGGCGCACGGGUGAGUAACGCGUAUCCAACCUGCCCCCAAGUAGGGAAUAACCUUGCGAAAGUAAGACUAAUACCCUAUAAUUUCCUCAGAUGUCAUCUGACGAGGAAUAAAGAUUUAUCGGUUGAGGAUGGGGAUGCGUCUGAUUAGCUUGUUGGCGGGGUGACGGCCCACCAAGGCAACGAUCAGUAGGGGUUCUGAGAGGAAGGUCCCCCACAUUGGAACUGAGACACGGUCCAAACUCCUACGGGAGGCAGCAGUGAGGAAUAUUGGUCAAUGGGCGGAAGCCUGAACCAGCCAAGUAGCGUGCAGGAUGACGACCCUAUGGGUUGUAAACUGCUUUUAUACAGGAAUAAAGUUAGCCACGUGUGGUUAUUUGUAGGUACUGUAUGAAUAAGGACCGGCUAAUUCCGUGCCAGCCGCCGCCGUAA